GUAACUCCCAGCACAUCUGAUGAUGAUGACGCUGCGGAAGCAGGUCCAUCAAAAGAAGUCUGGAGCAGCAGAAGUGGGACUUCUGUAAGACAUCACCACAAAAAACCUGUGGCAGCAAAGAAAGCAAGGUCUGAUGUCCAGGGCCAACCACAGCAGGCUACCCGGCCACGAAGAUUAUCGACAGUAUGUUCGGUCCCCCCACUCCAAAUUUUGGACACACCUCCAAGACGUCAUCCACACUCCCCUCAUCUUGAUUCUUCUAGUCCUGGUAACAGCAUCCCUCCGCAACAACAGCAACACAGUGACAUGG